GGGGGCGAAACGGCUUCGACGGAGGCUACGAAGGAUUUUGUGGCAUGCCAAGGCCCCGCUACCUUGUAAAAAGCGGGAACUUUUUUAAGUGCCAACGAUAACGUUGAUUUUGCACUUGCUGCGUAAGCAGUAAAGCUGGUGAUGGAGACGGGCCCAGGGUCGAAAUCACCAUACACUUCACUGGGCUGGUUGUUUAUGGGUGUCUACACCAUAGGCAACGAGACUUUGUAGGCUAAGGUAUCGGAACCCUGUCCGUGGGGUAACCGGUACUCGAAAAUCCAACCACGGGAGAAGCAUGUGGUUCGCAACUUCUGGACAGCUUUCGGACCCCGGUUCGACUCCGGGCGCCUCCACCU
rnacentral:tmRNA from 1 species